GAUGAACGCUGGCGGCGUGCCUAAUACAUGCAAGUCGAGCGAACAGACGAGGAGCUUGCUCCUCUGACGUUAGCGGCGGACGGGUGAGUAAAACGUGGAUAACCUACCUAUAAGACUGGGAUAACUUCGGGAAACCGGAGCUAAUACCGGAUAAUAUAUUGAACCGCAUGGUUCAAUAGUGAAAGACGGUUUUGCUGUCACUUAUAGAUGGAUCCGCGCCGCAUUAGCUAGUUGGUAAGGUAACGGCUUACCAAGGCAACGAUGCGUAGCCGACCUGAGAGGGUGAUCGGCCACACUGGAACUGAGACACGGUCCAGACUCCUACGGGAGGCAGCAGUAGGGAGUCUUCCGCAAUGGGCGAAAGCCUGACGGAGCAACGCCGCGUGAGUGAUGAAGGUCUUCGGAUCGUAAAACUCUGUUAUUAGGGAAGAACAAAUGUGUAAGUAACUAUGCACGUCUUGACGGUACCUAAUCAGAAAGCCACGGCUAACUACGUG
rnacentral:rRNA from 1 species